UGAGUUAGGUGGAUCAGACCCGAAACCGAGUGAUCUAGGCAUGACCAGGCUGAAGGUAAGGUAACACUUACUGGAGGGCCGAACCCACACCUGUUGAAAAAGGUCGGGAUGAGUUGUGCCUAGGGGUGAAAGGCCAAUCAAACUCCGUGAUAGCUGGUUCUCCCCGAAAUGCAUUUAGGUGCAGCGUUGCGUGUUUCUUGCCGGAGGUAGAGCACUGGAUAGUCUAGGGGCCCAAAAGCUUACCG
rnacentral:rRNA from 1 species